rnacentral:rRNA from 1 species
GACGAACGCUGGCGGCGUGCUUAACACAUGCAAGUCGAACGCUGAAGCUCAGCUUUUGUUGGGUGGAUGAGUGGCGAACGGGUGAGUAACACGUGAGUAACCUGCCUCCUUCUUUGGGAUAACGCCCGGAAACGGGUGCUAAUACUGGAUAUUCACUGGUCUUCGCAUGGGGGUUGGUGGAAAGGGUUUUUCUGGUGGGGGAUGGGCUCGCGGCCUAUCAGCUUGUUGGUGGGGUGAUGGCCUACCAAGGCUUUGACGGGUAGCCGGCCUGAGAGGGUGACCGGUCACAUUGGGGCUGAGAUACGGCCCAGACUCCUACGGGAGGCAGCAGUGGGGAAUGUUGCACAAUGGGCGCAAGCCUGAUGCAGCGACGCCGCGUGAGGGAUGGAGGCCUUCGGGUUGUGAACCUCUUUCGCUCAUGGUCAAGCCGCAACAAUGGUUGUGGUGAGGGUAGUGGGUAAAGAAGCGCCGGCUAACUACGUG